rnacentral:rRNA from 1 species
GACGAACGCUGGCGGCGUGCUUAACACAUGCAAGUCGAACGGAAAGGCCCUGCUUUUGUGGGGUGCUCGAGUGGCGAACGGGUGAGUAACACGUGAGUAACCUGCCCUUGACUUUGGGAUAACUUCAGGAAACUGGGGCUAAUACCGGAUAGGAGCUCCUGCUGCAUGGUGGGGGUUGGAAAGUUUCGGCGGUUGGGGAUGGACUCGCAGCUUAUCAGCUUGUUGGUGGGGUAGUGGCUUACCAAGGCUUUGACGGGUAGCCGGCCUGAGAGGGUGACCGGCCACAUUGGGGCUGAGAUACGGCCCAGACUCCUACGGGAGGCAGCAGUGGGGAAUAUUGCACAAUGGGCGGAAGCCUGAUGCAGCAACGCCGCGUGCGGGAUGACGGCCUUCGGGUUGUAAACCGCUUUCGCCUGUGACGAAGCGUGAGUGACGGUAAUGGGUAAAGAAGCACCGGCUAACUACGUG